rnacentral:ncRNA from 1 species
GUAUUAAUAUAGUAAAUAAUAUUUGUUAUUUAAGCUCUUUAUGUUAUUAAGUAAACGAAAUUAUAUAGAAGAUAUAAUUAUUUAGUUUGUAAUUCAAAGAUAGGUUUAAAAUUAUCUCAGCGAAGCUGUGCCAGCCGCCGCGGUUACACAGGCUGAGAGAAAGUAUUAUUAUAAUAAUAAUAAAAUUUUUUGGUAAGUUUUUACAUGUAGGUGAAAUUAGUGUUUAAAUUUAUAAGUUUGUUUUAAAUGAAUUUUGGUUUAAAUUAGGAUUAGAUACCCUAUUAUUCAAGAACUUUAAGUUGGUAGUAUUUUUUAAGUUUUGAAAUCUAAAGAUUAUGGCGGUAUUUUAAGCUAUUUAGAGGAAUUUAUUCUUUAAUGGAUAAAGCUCAGGGAUCUUACUUGGAUUGGUUAAGCAGUUUGUAUAUCGCUAUCAUAGAAUAAUGUUGAUUAAUUAAUAAUUAGAAUUAUAUUUUGUAAGAAUGUUAGGUCAAAAUGCAGCAAAAAUUUAAGGUUGAAAUAAAUUACUUUUAUUUAUAUAUGAGUUUUUGAAAAUAGGGUUUAGGAUUUAAAAGUAAAUUUGAAUUAUAAUGUUUAGUUGAAUUUAGCUCUAAAAUAUGCACAUAUCGCCCGUCACUCUCAGUGAUGAGAUAAGUCGUAACAAAGUAAAAGUACCGGAAGGUGUUUUU